CACUCUUUUCCACUUACAUUGCAGAAAAUAUGUGGCAUACUUCAUUCAACGUCUAAUCCUUUGGGUCCAAUAACAACUUGGAAGACAAAAGCAUGUGAUCUUGCAUUUUGCAAGAAUGUGUCACAAUCUCUUCGCUAAAAUUCCUACUAUUACCCAAUCUUAUUGAAAUCUUCUUACACCUAUAUAAUGCAUCCAAUUGUGCUGAUAUCAAGCACAACUCCUCCACAGCACCUGUCACAAAAACGAAAUCCUUUCAUAUUGCAUUUCUUCACCAAAACAAAUUAAGUGACCGUACCCUUCAUAUAUACAUGGCUAUUCGUAUGCCUCGGAUCAUUCAAGCAAAGAAAGUUCUUGGUCGAUCAUUGUCCAAUGGAAGCCGUCCAUCAUCAUCUACAGACAUCAUCCCUAAAGGACAUUUUGCAGUUUAUGUUGGUGAUCAAGAGAAAAGACGAUUUGUUGUUCCUUUAUCAUUAUUAAACCAGCCUUCAUUCCAAGACUUGCUACAUCAAGCAGAGGAAGAAUUUGGAUAUGAUCAUCCAAUGGGUGGCCUCACAAUUCCAUGUCGUGAGGAAGUGUUUGUUGAUGUUGCUUCCCGCCUUUGCUCGUUAUGAUGAAGAGCUAGGCAUGCAUCGUGAAUUUGCUAACAGUUUUGUACAGUCAAAAUUACCAUGAGGAUUAAUUACUUGUAAAUCAGAGGGAGUAAUGUGGUCUCCAAAUUAACUGUAUGAUAACAAAAUUUAGUUUCAGCAAUAAUACAUUAAUGACGAGCAUAGUUCAACGUAUGGUGUUCAUGUUAUGCCAUUAGGGCUUUCUUUAUCAAUAUCCUCUAAGCCCACCAGAACCACUUACUUUCUUUUGUUCUUUAGCUUGUAUUUUCAAUCUGUUAAAAAAAAAAGUGUGUAUGCCUCAUCUUUCUCCGUAUACUGAAUGUCACUAUAGCUUUAAGGCCUGGAUCAGUUGUUUCUUCAACACCACCUACCCAAGAGCUAUCAGUUAUUGUUCUUUUACUCUAACCUAUUAUAGGGACUGAUUGGUGAAGAGAAAUCGGCUGAUGACCAAUGAUCAGUAGUUCGAUAAAGGGAACGACUUUGUAAAAGGCCUGCUAAUGUCUUUCUUGUGGAAGCUCAGAAGUUUAAACAAAAGAACUCACAUAGAGAACAUCAUGGUAUUUAGCUGCUUCUGAUGGCAAACUAUUAGGCAUAUUUUUAAUAGAUUAUGACCAUAUUACUAAUUAGGAAGGUUUCAAUAUAAAGUCCAGCUACAACUCUUGUAUAGAUAUCAUGAAAACUAUGGAAAAAGGCAAGGCAUUGAGUUUCAAAUAUUAUAAUCACAAAAGAAUUCCAACAGAGACCCCUCUUGGAACAUCCUAAACAUCAUAACAUCCUACUUUCUUCCCAAUAGAUUUAUUCCGCUACAAAUCUUAAUUACUCAAGCAACAUGACAAUCACUGACAACCUACCAAAAUAGUUAGAAAGACCCCACAAUAUAUAUAUAUAUAUAUAUAUNNNNNNNNNNNNNNNNNNNNNNNNNNNNNNNNNNNNNNNNNNNNNNNNNNNNNNNNNNNNNNNNNNNNNNNNNNNNNNNNNNNNNNNNNNNNNNNNNNNNNNNNNNNNNNNNNNNNNNNNNNNNNNNNNNNNNNNNNNNNNNNNNNNNNNNNNNNNNNNNNNNNNNNNNNNNNNNNNNNNNNNNNNNNNNNNNNNNNNNNNNNNNNNNNNNNNNNNNNNNNNNNNNNNNNNNNNNNNNNNNNNNNNNNNNNNNNNNNNNNNNNNNNNNNNNNNNNNNNNNNNNNNNNNNNNNNNNNNNNNNNNNNNNNNNNNNNNNNNNNNNNNNNNNNNNNNNNNNNNNNNNNNNNNNNNNNNNNNNNNNNNNNNNNNNNNNNNNNNNNNNNNNNNNNNNNNNNNNNNNNNNNNNNNNNNNNNNNNNNNNNNNNNNNNNNNNNNNNNNNNNNNNNNNNNNNNNNNNNNNNNNNNNNNNUAUAUACUGCUUGUAAUCAAUAAAUGAAUGAUAUAAAACCACAAUGGGUCUCUUACUUAGUUGAUAUCAGAGUUACGGAAAAGAAAACAGCCAAUCGGUUAUCAGUUAAGGUCAAAUAGCAGAUCCUUUUGUAUCGAUCAUGGAUAACAGAACAACCUUCAAAAGAUAUGUCUCUGAUUUUCUUCAGGAGGGAAAAGCAAAAUAUUUAAAUGCGUACUAUGUGUUGAUUUCAGGACCUGAAAUCGUGGACUUGUUGUACUUGAAAAAAAGAUGCCUAACCUUCUGAUAUUUUUGACAAACAUGGCCAUCUCUUCUUUGNUUCGUAUGCCUCGAAUCAUUCAGGCCAAAAAAGUUCUCGGUCGAUCAUUCUCCAAUGGAAGCCGCUCAUCAUCAUCAUCGGUAGACAUCAUCCCCAAAGGACAUUUAGCAGUUUAUGUUGGUGAUCAAGAAAAAAGACGAUUUGUUGUUCCUUUAUCGUUAUUAGACCAGCCUUCAUUCCAAGAUCUGUUACGUCAAUCAGAGGAAGAAUUUGGUUAUGAUCAUCCAAUGGGUGGCCUCACAAUUCCAUGUCGUGAGGAUGUCUUCAUUCAUGUCGCUUCUGGCCUGGUCUGCUCAUUAUGACCAAGAAUUUUGCAUUCUAUUCGCUAACAUAUAACGUAAUUUUGUACAGUAGAAAUCACCAUGAAACCUAAGUAUUUGUAAAGCUGUCUCCAAAUUGUAUAAUAGCCAACAUUAGUUUCACCAUUAACAUAGCAAUGAAGAACAUCAUUCAAAUUUUGGUAUCUAUAUAUGCAUAUUCCAUCUUUCCUUUAUUAAUGUACUCUUAUAAGGUGCUCAAAAUCCGUACUUCAAACUUUCUAAAUCGAUCUAACAAGUGUUCAAAAAUGGUAAUUAUUUCACAUAAUUUUCUAUAUAGUUAAUACUACAUUUCUUCUGCGCUAAGACAGCCACACGACUUCAAUCAAGCACCAAAUUUCGCUGAACUCAACACAUAGAAUCCUCCACAUAUACUGUGCGGCUUCCUCGUGUGAGCGUGUGAUUCACAUUCCACAAUCUUAUCGGCACGACAUCAUCACGACCUUCCAAUUCGCGUUAUAGGCGGUGGCAGGGAUUUAAGACCAUUUUUCUUUCGAAAUUCGAUUUCAUCAAAAUCAGGCCUUAAACACUUGUAUUUCUCCAUUUUCUUUGGACCGUAAAUAUCAUAUAUGAUUUUCGUAUCUCUUGACUCAGCCAAUGGUCUUCAUGCUUUCGGCUUUAUACAAAAAUCUUGGUGAUUUUGUCUUAAUAUCAGUAUUUCUUUACUAAUUAUUGUUGAUUCUCAUUUAUAUAGUAUUGGUUCCAUACAUUGGAGGUAUUAUUUUGGAUUAUCAAACCGUAUGAAGAUGCAAGUUCGAUUAUUUGGAACUUUAAACUUGGACUGAGAUUUACCAAUACUGAUAAACUUUGUUAUUUUUGUUCAUUUUUAACUAAUAUUAUUGUGAAAGGCUUGUUAAAAACUAGCAGGACAAAGACGACAUACGAAGGUUCUUUUUGAUAUGACACAAUUCAAGUUUUUUUAAUUGUUAUAUUCGGCAUGUCAAAAAAUAUCUUCUAAACAAGUUUAUAAGCGAGGUUUUUAAAGAGCUACUCAAACUCGAAUUUUAACAAACUUUAAAAUCUUUUUUAAAAUCCUCCCUUUAUAUAUGUUCAUUUCCCUAGACCAAGGGCCAAGGAGCCAAAAGCGAAGAUAGAAGAAAAGUAGUCUAUUGAUUAGCUAAGUGCAAAAGUGACAAAAAUAAGAAAGUAAGAUUGUUAUUACCUUUAUAUAUGUUAUUAUAAGUCAUAUAAUUUAUUAGAAAGGAGUUUCAUGGAAAUGAGGGUAAAAUGAGAAGAAUUAUGAAAAAUUAAAAUAUAAAUCAAAUAAUGAAAGUAGUAAAUUUGGAGCUCUAGGAGGCCAACCAAACGUUGGUGUUUAGGAACAAACAGGGUUGAAAUGGAAAGAGGACGUAUAAUACUAAACAAUGUAAAAUGACUCAACUUAAUUGGUAAAACAAUGAGCAAAUUAUGAGCUUGCAAAGUUAAAAGACAAUUCAUUCAUAAGUUAUGGGUUAUUUCAAAAUUCCAAGGUACUAACUUUAGAGGUUAAUAGCUAUAGAUCUAGAAUGAUUCAAAAAAAAUCUAUAAAAAGAAUAUUAUAAACAUUAUGUCAACAGAAACAUAAGAUGAUUCAAGAAAAUUAGAAUCAUUAUGAAGUAGUUAUGAGCAUUUAAAAAUGUCAAGUUAAAACAUAAAGUUAACAAAAUAACAAGUAUAAACCUAUGUUCAUGAGUUAAUAACUCAAUAUUUGUACAUAUUCAACCAAAGAUGUUUGCACGCAUCACACUCCUUGUUCUUUCUAAUAAAUCCUUAAUUUUAAUUUUAGAAAAAUUAUUUUCAUUAUAAAAAUUUCUCAAACCCUCGAUUUGAGUCUAGACACCCCCGAAGGUGUGGCCGGAUCCCUCAAACCAAGACUCUGAUACCAAAUUGUAACAUCCCAAAAAUUAAGGCCAAAAAUUUCAUUUUUAUUUAAUAAUUAUAAAACCAUUUGUCUGAAAACAUCCAUAAUAUCAACUCAUAUCAAAACCACUAUAUGAAUAGUCAAAACAUGUCAUGAUAAACAAUAUCAGAGUAAAACUCCAAGAGAUCUCAUGUGCGGAAAAUAUAGUGUGAUACACUACGAUCAUGCCGGAUAUCUGGGUGCUUGACCUACUCUGCUAGGCAUAUCUGGGUGCCCAACCUAUGCUCCAGUUUAUCUCAACCGGUUACAGAGACUAUUUCACCCCUACCACUACCACAUAAUACAUAGCAUAAUCAUACUGUCAGGCAUAUCUAGGUGCCGAACCUACCCUUAGGUUUAUCUCAACCGAUUCCGGGGACUAUUCCUCCUCCUACCACUAUCACAUAAUAUCAUAGCAUAAUAGCACAUAUAACAUAACAGAUAGUGGCAUACUAGACAAUUAUCUCUACUAUAAUCAGCCAAUAGUGGGCUGGCAUUGGUGCCUUCGACCCACUUCUACUGGAAGGUAACUCACCUCAAAUAUCAUGAAGUAGCUAAACUAUCCUCAACUUUGAAAUCAACCCCACUCAAACUUCUACACAUAAAAUAUUCCCUUUAAUUACCCUUUUCAUACUCAUAACCCGUUCAGGUUCAACUUUGAUCAAAGUCAAAGUCGAAGUCAACACCCUAGUCAAAGUCAACAUUCCGGUCAAAGUCAACACUAUGGUCAAAAGUCAACAUUCCGGGAUGACUCAACUCGCCGAGUUCCAUAAAUCAUGAAACCUUGAAAUUGCGAUCCAACUCGUCGAGUUCUUUCACAACUCGUCGAGUUCCUCCUAUAAACAGAAUCAAGACUUCUCCAUUCAACUCGUCAAGUUUUUCCUUUUUAUAGAAUUGGGAUACUUCGACCCAACUCGUCGAGUUCCUCUAUGAACUCGUCGAGUUCUUCAGUGUGUUAAGCCCUUCUUAAUGGAUGAAGGUCCUAUUCCUCAGAUCUAAGCUUCAUACUUCGUAUUCAUACUGAAAAUGUCCUUUUUAAGGGUAAAAGUUUCCAACUUUACCCGUUAAUACCCUUCCUUAAUGGAUUUAGCUCAAAACCUAACUCUUUAACACCUGGAUCUUGAUCCAAAAGCCAUUAAUACUUUAAGCUAAGGCAUACAAACUCAGAUCUAGAGCCUAGACACUACAUGAACACGUAAAGUCUCUGACUUUCUCUCAAUGCAUGGCCUUUUGGAGCUUAAAAGGCCAAAAUGACAUCCUAAAGCUUGCAUGGGGCUUCAAUGGCCAUAAAGUUUGCACCUUUAUGCGAUGAAAGCCCUUCAAGGUCCUAGAUUUGGAAUUAUACUCACUUGGGACUCCCAUUUCCCAAGGACCAUGCUACUUGGACCAAAACCCAAUGAAAGUGAAAAUGCAGAGAUCUAAGAAAUCAUUAAGCAAGUUUGAGGCUUGCAUACCAGAAAAUGCUGCAAAUAGAGUGAAGUUUCUGGAUCUACUACUUCCUUCGUGAGUCAUCACGCUUCUUAUUCCACAAGCAAGAACCGGGCGUUACACAACGGCCAACGUUGACUUGCCAUGUCGUGGUGGUCCUUCAUCAUGUCGUAGUCCCUAAAGAACAAAACAGACGAUCUAACCCCAGUCGCCACAACGUGGUGACCUGACACUACGUCGUGGAAACGAGGUUCCAAACAACUUAAUUGAUUAAACUGCUUUCUUCAACCUUCUAGACUACAAUGCUCAAAUCUCACUCAAAACGAUAUCUAGAGGGAUAAAGUUUCUAAAUUUACCCUAAGGACCAUCAAAAAAGGUCUAAAACUCAAACCCUAGGUUCCAUAAGGCAUGAAAUUAACAAUUAAGCACUUAUUCCUUUAAAUCCAAGGUCCAUCUUCUCUAGUUGUGUUUCUAACACUAAAAUCAACAUGAAAGUUGGUGCUUUAUAGACAUGCAUGUCCAAUGCGUGUCUUGAACCCAUAUUAGGUCAAAAUGAGAAUUUGUGAACUAAAUCUCAUGCAUGAUUACAAUAUGCAACUAAACUUCAGAUCCAAGCCACCAAUUUCAUCAAAUGUCAAAGAGAUUCAUAAAGUCGCAAACAUUAUGAAAUCCCACCAUUCUAACCAGUAAGAAUAAGAAGAUUAUGGGACAAAGCUUAAGAUCUAGCAUCCUAUCAUGAUAAAAGUCAUGUUUGGGACAGUUACAAAGGUCCAAAAGAGUGUCAAGGUAAAUAAUGGAGGCUUGCUUGCUGGAUCGAAGCUCAAUAAUUCCUCCUUCUUCCUUCAAAAGAUUCCAAGACGACCAAAAACGAGCACAAGAGCACCAAGGAGGAUUAGGGUUAGAGUUGCUGGGUUUGGGAGUGAUGGAGGCUGAAGGUGGACAACCCUAGCCUCCCUACUUUCCGUUAAAUACUCAAAAAAAUUAGGGUUUGCCAUCAGGCCGCCACCACAUUGUGGCCACAAGCCGCCACGUCAUGGUGACUAAAUGAAACAUGCGAUCUAGUCUCGACUCGCCAUGUUGUCUUGGUCCUUCACCAAGUCGUGGCGGCCCUAAACAAAGAAGAUAAUAAUUACAAAGUACCUCAAAAUCUGGAUGUUACAUUAACAAGAUGACAAGGCUUUGUUGGGUUGCUACCUCCGGUCGGGAAGUAUAUUCCUAGUCGACAAACAUAAAAACGCCUAACUAUUUUUGCAACAAUGUAGCUAGGCGAAUUGAAGGUUGAAUACUCCUUGUUUGCAAGGUUGUUUGGAAAGCUACAAAAUUAAUAGCUAUGAUUUAACAACCUAUGAAUAAAAGAGUCUCGAAGGAAACCAACUUGGGAUUACAACGUCCUCCAUCAAAAGGUACCAAAGUCAACAUUGAUUGAUUAAAGUGUAAGUUGGUAUAUUAAGAAAGAGUUAAGAUAAUUUUUUUGGAUUUUUGAAUACCAAAACACUCACUGUCCGAAUAUGAAGACUUCUCUAGUGGUUCAUUUUUUUUCAUUGCUCUGUGGGUUCUGUCGGGAUGAUCAAGAGAUGAUCAAACGAUGCUAAACGUGAUGCGAUGAGCCUCUAAAACUUUAAGACCGUGUUGUAAUUGAGUUCGUCUAGACCAAAGACGACGGGUAUGUAUGCGAUGAUGUUGGUAAUGGAAACCAUCAGUGAAAAGGAAGGCGGUGACUAUAGUUGUAUAGAGAAGGACAACUAACAAGAAGAAAAAAGAGAAGAUAAGGAUUGGAUAUUGGAGUGACAUAAUCCGGAAAAUCUGUAACAAAUUGGAUAUUAUAUUAAAAAACGUAUUUCCACAUCAAUCCUAUUUGUCAUUAAAGAAUCGGAAUAUGUACUUGUACAUCAUACGUAGGCAAUGUUAGCAUUAAUGGAUUGGGUAUAUAUACAAAUCCAUAUAUAUAAUACCGAAAGAGGCCAACAAAUAUGUCCGUUAUAAUAGACUAAUAUUUAGAUGGCGUUUUGUACGAUAACAAGAUUUUUGACCCAAGCUAGCAAAUUAAGAUUAAAAUAUUUCUUUCUCUUCAAAAACCACAAAAAAUAAAAAUAAAAAUAAACCACGGUCAAACAUCUCUCCUUUUUUCCGGUUAGAUGAAAGAAACACCAUUUUCUUCUUUAAUGAGCAAUCCCCGAUAACUACAUCCAAUUACACCCUUGAUCCCGUUUUAAGUUGGAGUAGAACUUUGAGCACCGUGCUGGAAAUGUAUACCCACUUAUAGGACUAUGUUGUACCGAUGUAGAAUACACUAACAACAACAUGAGAAGUUACAUCUUUGAUAUUUUGGUCGGUGGCCAAGUAAAAACUUUAAAUUCAAAAGCUUAUUAGUAGGUGGUUGAUUCAUAUGCAUGAUUAGAUUUGAUCCCAUUUGGAUUUUGAUAGUGUUGAACACUUCACCACCUAAAAUGGUGGAAUGGUUGUACUUCAAAAAAAAUAAAGAUGCAAAAUGUUAUGAUUUUUUAUGAAACAUAGCAAUGUGAGAAAUAAUGGUUAAUGUCCUUCAGACUCCAAUAUACAUAUGGGCCAUAGUUUUGCUCACUCUUUUCCACUUACAUUGCAGAAAAUAUGUGGCACACUUCAUUCAACGUCUAAUCCUUUGGGUCCAAUAACAAUUUGGAAGACAAAAGCAUGUGAUCUUGCAAUUUGCAAGAAUCUGUCACAAUCACUUCGCUAAAAUUCCUACUAUUACUCAAUCAUAUUAAAAUCUUCUUACCCCUAUAUAAUGCAUCCGAUUGUGCUGAUAUCAAGCACAACUCCUCCACAGCACCUGUCACAAAAACGAAAUCCUUUCAUAUUGCAUUUCUUCACCAAAACAAAUUAAGUGACCGUACCCUUCAUAUAUACAUGGCUAUUCGUAUGCCUCGGAUCAUUCAAGCAAAGAAAGUUCUUGGUCGAUCGUUGUCCAAUGGAAGCCGUCCAUCGUCAUCUACAUACAUCAUCCCUAAAGGACAUUUUGUAGUUUAUGUUGGUGAUCAAGAGAAAAGACGAUUUGUUGUUCCUUUAUCAUUAUUAAACCAACCUUCAUUCCAAGACUUGCUACAUCAAUCAGAGGAAGAAUUUGGAUAUGAUCAUCCAAUGGGUGGCCUCACAAUUCCAUGCCGUGAGGAAGUAUUUGUUGAUGUUGCCUGCCGCCUUUGCUCGUUAUGAUGAAGAGCUAGGCAUGCAUCGUGAAUUUGCUAACAGUUUUGUACAGUCAAAAUUACCAUGAGGAUUAAUUACUUGUAAAUCAGAGGGAGUAAUGUGGUCUCCAAAUUAACUGUAUUAUAACAAAAUUUUGUUUCAGCAAUAAUACAUUAAUGACGAGCAUAGUUCAACGUAUGGUGUUCAUGUUAUGCCAUUAGGGCUUUCUUUAUCAAUAUCCUCUAAGCCCACCAGAACAACUUACUUUCUUUUGUUGUUUAGCUUGUAUUUUCAAUCUGUUCAAAAAAAGUGUGUAUGCCACAUCGAUCUUUCUCCAUGUACUGAAUGUCACUAUAGCUUUAAGGCCUGGAUCAGUUGUUUCUUCAACACCACCUACCCAAGAGCUAUCAAUUAUUGUUCUUUUACUCUAACCUGUUAUGAUAGGGACUGAUUGGUGAAGAGAAAUCGGCUGAUGACCAAUGAUCAGUAGUUAGAUAAAAAUUCAUGGUAGGAUCACACAUGUUAGUGUAUGAACUAAAGGGAACGACUUUGUAAAAGGCCUGCUUAUGUCUUUCUUGUGGAAGCUCAGAAGUUUAAACAAAAGAACUCACAUACAGAAUGAGAACGAUCUGAAUUAAUUUAACCAAAAGUCAUUACAGAAGAAAGAUAAUACAAAGACUAAAUACUUGGACAAUUAUACAUAAAUGACAAAAAGAGUCCUUCAACUAUAUUUAUAAAUAUAUUAACACCCCCCUCAAACUCAAGAUGGUUCAUGAGGGACCAAAUUGAGUUUGGAAAGUAGAAUAGAGAAGCGUCUUGGAUGAUGAGCUUUAGUGAAGAUAUCAGCAGGUUGGUCAGUAGAUGAGAUUGGAGAUAGAGUAAUGGUAUUGUGAAUGACAUGUUGUCGAACAAAAUGGCAAUCGAUCUCAAUGUGUUUGGUGCGCUCAUGGAACACGUCAUUGUAAGCAAUCUGAAUGGCACUUGUAUUAUCACACCAUAUGAUGGUCGGUGAAGAAAGAGAAAGACCCAUAUCUGAUAGAAGCCAACGCAACCAUACAAGCUCUUGGGUGGUGAAAGCAAGAGCCCGAUAUUCAGCUUCGGUGCUAGAUCUGGUGACUAAUGAUUGUUUCUUACUACGCCAUGAAAUUAGUGAAUCACCAAGGAAGAAACAAAAUCUGGUGGUAGAUCGACGAUCUGUGAUAUCCCCAUCCCAAUCUGCAUCCGAGAAGGCAUGAAGCUCUAAAGAUGAGGUGGAUGAGAAGUAGAGACCAUGGAAUAUGGUACCUUUAAUAUACCGUAAGAUACGCAACACUGCAGUAUAAUGAGUUGUUCGAGGAGAAGCCAUGAAUUGACUAACAAUAUGAACAGCAAAUGCAAGAUCGGGACGCGUAACGGUCAGGUUGACAAGUGAACCGACGAGCUGACGGUAAAGGGUAGGAUCAGAGAGGAGAGAACCAUCACCCGGUGAUAGAUGAAAGUUAGGGUCUAAGGGUGUAUUAGCAACCUUACAAUCGGUAAUACCGGCACGUGAAAUAAGAUCUGAUGCAUAUUUUGCUUGAGAUAAAUAAAUGCCAGUGUCAUGAGGAAGCACUUCAAGACCAAGAAAAUAGUGAAGUAAACCCAAAUCCUUCAUCUCAAAAUAAGAACUAAGUGACUGUUUUAGAUCAAGAAUACCAUGAGCAUCGCUACCUGUAAUAAUCAUGUCAUCCACAUAGAGAAUAAGAAGAAUAGUGCCCGAUGUAGUGGUUUUAGUGAACAGUCCAGAGUCAUAGUUGCUGGCGGUGAAACCCAAAGACUGAAUAAUUGUGCUGAAUUUUUCAAACCAAGCUCUUGGUGCUUGUUUAAGACCAUAAAGGGCCUUUUUGAGACGACAAACAUGAUCAUGUGGGUGAGUAACACCUGGAGGGGGUUUCAUAUAAACUUCCUUGGUGAGAUCACCAUGGAGAAAAACAUUUUUGACAUCCAUCUGAUAAAGAGACCAUCGGCGUACAGCAGCAACAGCAAGAAGGCUACGAACUGAAGUAACCCUAGCGACAGGUGCAAAAGUCUCCUCAUAGUCAAUUCCAUAUUCUUGAUUAAAACCUUUCGCAACUAAUCUGGCUUUGUACCGAUCGACAGUGCCAUCCGAGUUUGUUUUGACUUUAAACACCCAUUUGGAGCCAAUGAUGCCCUUUCCUGAUGGAAGAGGGACGAUGUCCCAUGUAUGAGCCUUAUUAAGAGCCUCUAAUUCGUCGGAUAUAGCUCUUUGCCAAAGUGGGUCAGAGGAUGCUUCUUUAUACGAAGAUGGUGUAUGGAUAGAGAAUAGAGUAGAAUAACACUUGUAGUCACGAAGAUGAGAAGGUAUAUGUCUUACCCGGGUGGAUCGGCGAUUGUCGGUAGUAAGUUCAUCAGGCAAAACAGACAUUUCAGGAGAGUCCAUAGAGGAAGAGUCGGGAGUAGAAUCACAUGUAGACAACGAUGUAGGAUCAGAUGGUGUAAUAGAAGGAGAAGUAUCAACAGGUGAAGAAGAGUCGGGAAAAUGCAAUGGUGAGGAAUGAGAUGGUGUGGCAGAAGACAUGUCCAUAGAUGGAGACGAAGGAUCGACAAUUGUCUGCGAAGGUGGGACAGAAGAUGAUGGUUGUCCCGGAAAUAGUUGAACAGAUGUAUCGGUAAAGAAAGGAGGAACAUGAUCAUAUUCCAAUUGAGAUGUUGAAAUGGAGGAAAACAUUUUGUGUUCCCAGAAGACAACAUGACGAGAUAUACGAAGUCGUUUGGAGAUAAGAUCCCAACACCGAUAGCCUUUGUGUUCGAUGUCGUAUCCCAGGAAACAACAAAGACGGAAUCGAGGUUGAAGUUUGGUGUGUUCAUGUGGUUGUAGCAAGACGAAGCAAGCACAACCCCAUACUUUGAGUAGAUUGUAGUUAGGAGGUUGUCCAUACAAAGCUUCAUACGGAGACUGAUUCUGGAGAAGUGUAAUUGGAUGGUGAUUGAUGGUGUAGACUGCUGAAAGGGCGGCCUCACCCCAAAAACGUUCUGGGCAUUGAGCUGAGAUAAGUAAGGUACUAACAGUAUCUAGGAUAUGGCGAUGUUUGCGUUCAGCUCUACCGUUUUGUUGGGAAGUACCGGGGCAAGAGUACUGAGAUACGGUGCCUUGUUGGCGGAGGAUGUCAAGGAAAGAACGUUCUUUGUAUUCUAUGGCAUUGUCGGCACGAAAGACUUUUAUGUGUUUAGCAAACUGGGUUUGGAUCAUACGUGCAAAAUUCAUGUAUAUAUGGGGUAGUUCAGAUCUGUUUUUCAUUAGAUAUAUCCAAGUAAAUCGCGUAUGAUCAUCAAGAAAGAUAACAAAAUAUUUUGACCCUCCCAUUGAAGGAAGAGGAGAAGGUCCCCACACAUCUGAAUGAAUCAAAUCAAAAGAAGCAACUGAAUUAACAUCAAUUCUACAAAAUGGUAAGGCAUGUUGUUUUCCUAAUUGACAUGAUAAACAAGAUAACUUGUCAGGUUUAACCGACCCCAAAAUACCAGAUAAAGUAAGAACUUUAAGUUUAUCAAAAGAGAUAUGUCCCAAUCUUGAAUGCCAUGUAUCUAUAUCACUGGGAGAGCCAUCGGAUGUUGAUAGAGAAGAGUGAACAAAAGGUUGUGGUUUGCGGAGAUAAACUAGCUCAACCUGCCGACCCACUUUACGGCCUAUCCCAAUUGUUUUCUUCGUGCUGGGAUCCUGAACAUAACAACCAGAAGGAGAGAAUAAAGUGUUUAGACCCAUAUCACAAAGCUGGCCCACUGAAAUUAAGUUAACUGAUAGCUUUGGGAUGUAAAGUGUAUCUGGUAAGGACAAUUGGGUUGUAGAAAUAUGCCCACUGUAAUGAACAGGUAGACUGGUUCCAUUAGCGGUCGUAACAACAGAUGGAGAUGUAGUUGUGGUUUUUGUGACAAAUACAUCAGGUUGUGAGGUCAUGUGAUUGCAACAACCAGAAUCAAAUAACCAAGCUUUACCUGCAACCGUUGAAUUGGCCAUGAUUGGUGAGGAUCUUGACAUAACUUGUUUUAUGAGCUCGAUUACAUCAUCAGAGGUAAAAGUGUUGAGGCUCUGAGCUGUUGAGGACCCCCAAAGGCACAUUGGAAAAAUCUGGAGCACAAACUGUUGCAGUGAUAUUUUUGAUGCGAUCUGGAUUCUUAAAACAGUUAGAUGCAAAGUGCCUAGGAUGUUUCUUUUGACAAAAAAUACAAGAACGGUUUGGACAAUCCAAUAGUUGAUGACCAUUAUCAUGACAAUAUGAGCACUGAGAUGAUUUUCUGUUGUGUGGAAACUGAGCUUUGUUGGAUGUGAAGUUUCGAACUCCUUUGUGGAAAGGUACAGCAAGAACUCCAUCAGUGGAUAAACUAGUUGAUGAAGUAGGAACUCCCAACCUGGUUUCUUCUGAGAUAAGUUCAGCUAUCGCAGCUUCAAGAGUAGGAAGAGGAGACCUAUGUAGGAGAGAAGCUCGAACAGGUUCAUAAAGAUCUUGUAGCGCCAUAAGAAAGAUCAUGAGAUGUUGUUUUUGAUGGGUAGUUGAAAUCAUAGCAUCCUCUUGACAUUUGAAAGUGGGUCCCGCAAGAGUCAGUUGAUCCCAUAUAACUUGUACUUCAGAUAGAAAUGCACUGAUGGUUUGACCUGGUUGUUGACGUUUGCUAAGAAGCCCAGACAAAAGGUGAUACUGAUGAGCCAUAUCAGUGGUGGUAUACCUAUCUUUAAGAAAAUCCCAUAUUUCUUUACCAGUGACAAAAAGCCCAAAUUGUUGAUUGAUUUCUGUUGUUGAAGUAUUACACAGAAUGGUGACAAUUUCUCCAUUCUUACACAACCAAUUUUCUUCUCUAAUGUCAAAGGCAUCUUGAUCUUCCCUUUCUUUUUGAACUGGUCUAGGUAUAGCACCUGUAACAACCCUCCAUAGUUUGCGAGAUUGAAGAUAGCUUGUCAUAUGUCGAGCCCAUAUAACAUAAUUAGAUCCAUCUAAUGUAAUUGAGAUUGGGCGAGGUGUGACAAGAGGAGUUGUCAUUGUUUAGGAAGGAAAUACAAGAAAGGAAUGAGAAACUUGAAGAAUGUUGUGGAAACCUCGUGAACAGUAUAGUGAGUUCAAUUUUACCAGAAAAUAGGGGAGAUAAUGGCUGCUCAGAUGUUAUUACGAGAGAUAGCUGCUACAGGGGUGACGAUGAGAGAUUGAAUCGACUAUUGUUGUAGUGGUAAUGAGACACACCACAAAAGUCGACCAGUCAACCGGAGAUGGUGAGAGGAGACGAACUUGGUAGCCACUGGAAGCCCUAGCGAUUUGGAGCCCUAAGCUCUGAUACCAUGAGAACGAUCUGAAUUAAUUUAACCAAAAGUCAUUACAGAAGAAAGACCAUACAAAGACUAAAUACUUGGACAAUUAUACAUAAAUGACAAAAAGAGUCUUUCAACUAUAUUUAUAAAUAUAUUAACAGAGAACAUCAUGGUAUUUAGCUGCUUCUGAUGGCAAACUAUUAGGCAUAUUUUUAAUAGAUUAUGACCAUAUUACUAAUUAGGAAGGUUUCAAUAUAGAGUCCAGCUACAACUCUUGUAUAGAUAUCAUGAAAACUAUGGAAAAAGGCAAGGCAUGGAGUUUCAAAGAUUAUAAUCACAAAAGAAUUCCAACUGAGACCCCUCUUGGAACAUCCUAAACAUCAUAACAUCCUACUUUCUUCCCAAGAGAUUUAUUCCGCUACAAAUCUUAAUUACUCAAGCAACAUGACAAUCACUGACAACCUACCAAAAUAGUUAGAAAGACCCCANNNNNNNNNNNNNNNNNNNNNNNNNNNNNNNNNNNNNNNNNNNNNNNNNNNNNNNNNNNNNNNNNNNNNNNNNNNNNNNNNNNNNNNNNNNNNNNNNNNNNNNNNNNNNNNNNNNNNNNNNNNNNNNNNNNNNNNNNNNNNNNNNNNNNNNNNNNNNNNNNNNNNNNNNNNNNNNNNNNNNNNNNNNNNNNNNNNNNNNNNNNNNNNNNNNNNNNNNNNNNNNNNNNNNNNNNNNNNNNNNNNNNNNNNNNNNNNNNNNNNNNNNNNNNNNNNNNNNNNNNNNNNNNNNNNNNNNNNNNNNNNNNNNNNNNNNNNNNNNNNNNNNNNNNNNNNNNNNNNNNNNNNNNNNNNNNNNNNNNNNNNNNNNNNNNNNNNNNNNNNNNNNNNNNNNNNNUAUAUAUAUAUAUAUAUAUUGUGGGGUCUUUCUAAUAUAAAAACACAAUGGGUCACUUACUUAGUUGAUAUCAGAGUUACGGAAAAGCAAACAGCCAAUCGGUUACCAGUUAAAGUCAAAUAGCGGAUCCUUUUGUAUCGAACAUUUAUAACAGAACAACCUUCUGAAGAUAUAUCUCUGAUUUUCUUCUGGAGGGAAAAGCAAAAUAUUUAAGUGCGUACUAUGUGUUUAAUUCAUAUAUCAGAUUAGAUAUGAGCAUUAAUUUCUUUUUGGAUGCUUUGUUGAUUUCAGGACCUGAAAUCGUGGACUUGUUGCACUUGAAAAAAAGAUGCCUAACCUUCUGAUAUUUUUGACAAACAUGGCCAUGUGAGAAAUAAUGAUGUGUGUCCAUAAGACUCACUUGUAAAUGGGCCCAUAGUGUAGCUUAAGCUUGGCCACUCAGCGUUACUGAAAUUUUGUGGCAUACUUCAUUGUACAUAUAUAAUUCUUUGGGACCAAUAACAAGUUGGAAGACAAAACCAUGUGAUUUUUCUUUUUGGUAGAAUGUGUCGCCAUCUCUUCUUUGAAAUUCCUACUAUUAUUCGAUCUUCAUUAAAAUCUUCAUACACCUAUAAAAUGGAUACAAUUGGGCUGAUAUGAAGCACAACGGAUCCUCCCAAAAUCGAUCACAGCAUCUUUCACAUAAAAGAAAUCCUUUUAGAAGAAAGAGACCGUAGCCUUCAUAUAAAAAUGGCCAUUCGUGUGCCUCGAAUCAUUCAGGCCAAAAAAGUUCUCGGUCGAUCAUUCUCCAAUGGAAGCCGCUCAUCAUCAUCAUCGGUAGACAUCAUCCCCAAAGGACAUUUAGCAGUUUAUGUUGGUGAUCAAGAAAAAAGACGAUUUGUUGUUCCUUUAUCGUUAUUAGACCAGCCUUCAUUCCAAGAUCUGUUACGUCAAUCAGAGGAAGAAUUUGGUUAUGAUCAUCCAAUGGGUGGCCUCACAAUUCCAUGUCGUGAGGAUGUCUUCAUUCAUGUCGCUUCUGGCCUGGUCUGCUCAUUAUGACCAAGAAUUUUGCAUUCUAUUUGCUAACAUAUAACGUAAUUUUGUACAGUAGAAAUCACCAUGAAACCUAAGUAUUUGUAAAGCUGUCUCCAAAUUGUAUAAUAGCCAACAUUAGUUUCACCAUUAACAUAGCAAUGAAGAACAUCAUUCAAAUUUUGGUAUCUAUAUAUGCAUAUUCCAUCUUUCCUUUAUUAAUGUACUCUUAUAAGGUGCUCAAAAUCCGUACUUCAAACUUUCUAAAUCGAUCUAACAAGUGUUCAAAAAUGGUAAUUAUUUCACAUAAUUUUCUAUAUAGUUAAUACUACAUUUCUUCUGCGCUAAGACAGCCACACGACUUCAAUCAAGCACCAAAUUUCGCUGAACUCAACACAUAGACUCCUCCACAUAUACUGUGCGGCUUCCUCAUGUGAUCGUGUGAUCCACAUUCCACAAUCUCAUCGGCACGACAUCAUCACGACCUUCCAUUUCGCAUUAUAGGCGGUGGCAGGGAUUUAAGACCAUUAAUCACUCAAAAUUCGAUUUCAUCAAAAUCAAGCCUUAAACACUUGUAUUUCUCCAUUUUCUUUGGACCGUAAAUAUCAUAUAUGAUUUUCGUAUCUUUUGACUCAGCCAAUGGUCUUCAUGCUUUCGGCUUUAUACAAAAAUCUUGGUGAUUUUGUCUUUAAUAUCAGUAUCUUUACUAAUUAUUGUUGAUUCUCAUUUAUAUAGUAUUGGUUCCAUACAUUUAAGGUAUUAUUUUGGAUUAUCAAACCGUAUGAAGAUGCAAGUUCGAUUAUUUGAAACUUUAAACUUGGACUGAGAUUUACCAAUACUGAUAAACUUUGUUCUUUUUGUUCAUUUUUAACUAAUAUUAUUGUGAAAGGCUUGUUAAAAACUAGCUGGACAAAGACGACAUACGAAGGUUCUUUUUGAUACGACACAAUUCAAGUUUUUUUUAAUUGUUAUAUUCGGCAUGUCAAAAAAUAUCUUCUAAACAAGUUUAUAAGCGAGGUUUUUAAAGAGCUACUCAAACUCGAAUUUUAACAAACUUUAAAAUCUUUUUUAAAAUCCUCGCUUCAUAUAUGCUCAUUUCCCUAGACCAAGGGCCAAGGAGCCAAAAGCGAAGAUAGAAGAAAAGUAGUCUAUUGAUUAGCUAAGUGCAAAAGUGACAAAAAUAAGAAAGUAUGAUUGUUAUUACCUUUAUAUAUGUUAUUAUAAGUCAUAUAAUUUAUUAGAAAGGAGUUUCAUGGAAAUGAGGGUAAAAUGAGAAGAAUUAUGAAAAAUUAAAAUAUAAAUCAAAUAAUGAAAGUAGUAAAUUUGGAGCUCUAGGAGGCCAACGAAACGUAGGUGUUAAGGAACAAACAGGGUUGAAAUGGAAAGAGGACAUAUAAUACUAAAAAAUGUAAAAUGACUCAACUUAAUUGGUAAAACAAUGAGCUUGCAAAGUUAAAAGACAAUUCAUUCAUAAGUUAUGGGUUAUUUCAAAAUUCCAAGGUACUAACUUUAGAGGUUAAUAGCUAUAGAUCUAGAAUGAUUCAGAAAAAUGUAUAAAAAGAAUGUUAUAAACAUUAUGUCAACAGAAACAUAAAAUGAUUCAAGAAAAUUAGAAUCAUUAUGAAGUAGUUAUGAGCAUUUAAAAAAGUCAAGUUAAAACAUAAAGUUUACAAAAAACGAGUAUAAACCUAUGUUCAUGAGUUAAUAACUCAAUAUUUGUACAUAUUCGGCCAAAGAUGUUUACACGCAUCACACUGCUUGUUCUUUCUAAUAAAUCCUUAAUUUUAAUUUUAGAAAAAUUAUUUUCAUUAUAAAAAUUUCUCAAACCCUCGAUUUGAGUCUACACAACCCCGAAGGUGUGUUUGGAUCUCUCAAACCAAGACUCUGAUCCCAAAUUGUAACAUCCCAAAAUUUAAGGCCAAAAAUUUCAUUUUUAUUUAAUAAAUAUAAAACCAUUUCUCUGAAAACAUCCAUAAUAUCAACUCAUAUCAAAACCACUGUAUGAAUAGUCAAAAAAUGUCAUGAUAAACAAUAUCAGAGUAAAACUCCAAGAGAUCUCAUGUGCGGAAAAUAUAGUGUGAUACACUACGAUCAUGCCGGAUAUCUGGGUGCUUGAACUACUCUGCUAGGCAUAUCUGGGUGCCCAACCUAUGCUUCGGUUUAUCUUAACCGGUUACAGAGACUAUAUCACCCCUACCACUACAACAUAAUACAUAGCAUAAUCAUACUGUCAAGCAUAUCUAGGUGCCCAAACUACCCUCUGGUUUAUCUCAACCGAUUCCAGGGACUAUUCCUCCUCCUACCACUAUCACAUAAUAUCAUAGCAUACUAGCACAUAAAACAUAACAGAUAGUGGCAUACCAGACAAUUAUCACAAAGACAAUUAUCUCUACUAUAAUCAGCUAAUAGUGGGCUGGCAUUGGUGCCUUCGACCCACUUCUACUGGAAGGUAAAUCACCUUAAAUGUCAUGAAGUAGCUAAACUAUCCUCAACUUUGAAAUCAACCCCACUCAAACUUCUACACAUAAAAUAUUCCCUUUAAUUACCCUUUUCAUACUCAUAACCCCUUAAGGUUCAACUUUGAUCAAAGUCAAAGUCGAAGUCAACACCCUAGUCAAAGUCAACAUUCCGGUCAAAGUCAACAUUCCGGUCAAAGUCAACACUAUGGUCAAAAGUCAACAUUCCGGGAUGACUCAACUCGCCGAGUUCCAUAAAUCAUGAAACCUUGAAAUUGCGAUCCAACUCGUCGAGUUCCUCCUAUAAACAGAAUCAAGACUUCUACAGUCAACUCGUCGAGUCAUCCUUGAACUAGUCGAGUUUUUCCUUUUUAUAGAAUUGGGAUACUUCGACCCAACUCGUCGAUUUCCUCUAUGAACUCGUCGAGUUCUUCAGUGUGUUAAGCCCUUCUUAAUGGAUGAAGGUCCUAUCCCUCAUAUCUAUGCUUCAUACUUCGUAUUCAUACUGAAAAUGUCCUUUUUAAGGGUAAAAGUUUCCAACUUUACCCGUUAAUACCCUUCCUUAAUGGAUUUAGCUCAAAACCUAACUCUUUAACACCUGGAUCUUGAUCCAAAAGCCAUUAAUACUUUAAGCUAAGGCAUACAAACUCAGAUCUAGAGCCUAGACACUACAUGAACACGUAAAGUCUCUGACUUUCUCUCAAUGCAUGGCCUUUUGGAGCUUAAAAGGCCAAAAUGACAUCCUAAAGCUUGCAUGGGGCUUCAAUGGCCAUAAAGUUUGCACCUUUAUGCGAUGAAAGCCCUUCAAGGUCCUAGAUUUGGAAUUAUACUCACUUGGGACUCCCAUUUCCCAAGGACCAUGCUACUUGGACCAAAACCCAAUGAAAGUGAAAAUGCAGAGAUCUAAGAAAUCAUUAAGCAAGUUUGAGGCUUGCAUACCAGAAAAUGCUGCAAAUAGAGUGAAGUUUCUGGAUCUACUACUUCCUUCGUGAGUCAUCACGCUUCUUAUUCCACAAGCAAGAACCGGGCGUUACACAACGGCCAACGUUGACUUGCCAUGUCGUGGUGGUCCUUCAUCAUGUCGUAGUCCCUAAAGAACAAAACAGACGAUCUAACCCCAGUCGCCACAACGUGGUGACCUGACACUACGUCGUGGAAACGAGGUUCCAAACAACUUAAUUGAUUAAACUGCUUUCUUCAACCUUCUAGACUACAAUGCUCAAAUCUCACUCAAAACGAUAUCUAGAGGGAUAAAGUUUCUAAAUUUACCCUAAGGACCAUCAAAAAAGGUCUAAAACUCAAACCCUAGGUUCCAUAAGGCAUGAAAUUAACAAUUAAGCACUUAUUCCUUUAAAUCCAAGGUCCAUCUUCUCUAGUUGUGUUUCUAACACUAAAAUCAACAUGAAAGUUGGUGCUUUAUAGACAUGCAUGUCCAAUGCGUGUCUUGAACCCAUAUUAGGUCAAAAUGAGAAUUUGUGAACUAAAUCUCAUGCAUGAUUACAAUAUGCAACUAAACUUCAGAUCCAAGCCACCAAUUUCAUCAAAUGUCAAAGAGAUUCAUAAAGUCGCAAACAUUAUGAAAUCCCACCAUUCUAACCAGUAAGAAUAAGAAGAUUAUGGGACAAAGCUUAAGAUCUAGCAUCCUAUCAUGAUAAAAGUCAUGUUUGGGACAGUUACAAAGGUCCAAAAGAGUGUCAAGGUAAAUAAUGGAGGCUUGCUUGCUGGAUCGAAGCUCAAUAAUUCCUCCUUCUUCCUUCAAAAGAUUCCAAGACGACCAAAAACGAGCACAAGAGCACCAAGGAGGAUUAGGGUUAGAGUUGCUGGGUUUGGGAGUGAUGGAGGCUGAAGGUGGACAACCCUAGCCUCCCUACUUUCCGUUAAAUACUCAAAAAAAUUAGGGUUUGCCAUCAGGCCGCCACCACAUUGUGGCCACAAGCCGCCACGUCAUGGUGACUAAAUGAAACAUGCGAUCUAGUCUCGACUCGCCAUGUUGUCUUGGUCCUUCACCAAGUCGUGGCGGCCCUAAACAAAGAAGAUAAUAAUUACAAAGUACCUCAAAAUCUGGAUGUUACAUUAACAAGAUGACAAGGCUUUGUUGGGUUGCUACCUCCGGUCGGGAAGUAUAUUCCUAGUCGACAAACAUAAAAACGCCUAACUAUUUUUGCAACAAUGUAGCUAGGCGAAUUGAAGGUUGAAUACUCCUUGUUUGCAAGGUUGUUUGGAAAGCUACAAAAUUAAUAGCUAUGAUUUAACAACCUAUGAAUAAAAGAGUCUCGAAGGAAACCAACUUGGGAUUACAACGUCCUCCAUCAAAAGGUACCAAAGUCAACAUUGAUUGAUUAAAGUGUAAGUUGGUAUAUUAAGAAAGAGUUAAGAUAAUUUUUUUGGAUUUUUGAAUACCAAAACACUCACUGUCCGAAUAUGAAGACUUCUCUAGUGGUUCAUUUUUUUUCAUUGCUCUGUGGGUUCUGUCGGGAUGAUCAAGAGAUGAUCAAACGAUGCUAAACGUGAUGCGAUGAGCCUCUAAAACUUUAAGACCGUGUUGUAAUUGAGUUCGUCUAGACCAAAGACGACGGGUAUGUAUGCGAUGAUGUUGGUAAUGGAAACCAUCAGUGAAAAGGAAGGCGGUGACUAUAGUUGUAUAGAGAAGGACAACUAACAAGAAGAAAAAAGAGAAGAUAAGGAUUGGAUAUUGGAGUGACAUAAUCCGGAAAAUCUGUAACAAAUUGGAUAUUAUAUUAAAAAACGUAUUUCCACAUCAAUCCUAUUUGUCAUUAAAGAAUCGGAAUAUGUACUUGUACAUCAUACGUAGGCAAUGUUAGCAUUAAUGGAUUGGGUAUAUAUACAAAUCCAUAUAUAUAAUACCGAAAGAGGCCAACAAAUAUGUCCGUUAUAAUAGACUAAUAUUUAGAUGGCGUUUUGUACGAUAACAAGAUUUUUGACCCAAGCUAGCAAAUUAAGAUUAAAAUAUUUCUUUCUCUUCAAAAACCACAAAAAAUAAAAAUAAAAAUAAACCACGGUAAAACAUCUCUCCUUUUUUCCGGUUAUAAAGAAACACCAUUUUCUUCUUUAAUGAUCAAUCCCCGAUAACUACAUCCAAUUACACCCUUGAUCCCGUUUUAAGUUGGAGUAGAACUUUGAGCACCGUGCUGGAAAUGUAUACCCACUUAUAGGACUAUGUUGUACCGAUGUAGAAUACACUAACAACAACAUGAGAAGUUACAUCUUUGAUAUUUUGGUCGGUGGCCAAGUAAAAACUUUAAAUUCAAAAGCUUAUUAGAAGGUGGUUGAUUCAUAUGCUUGAUUAGAUUUGAUCCUAUUUGGAUUUUGAUAGUGUUGACCACUUCACCACCUAAAAUGGUGGAAUGGUUGUACUUCAAAAAAUAAAUAAAUUAUAAAGAUGCAAAAUGUUACGUUUUUUAAUGGAACAUAUCCAUGUGAAUAAUAAUGGUGCAUGUCCUUCAGAAUCCAAUAUACAUAUGGGCCAUAGUUUUGUUCACUCUUUUCCACUUACAUUGCAGAAAAUAUGUGGCAUACUUCAUUCAACGUCUAAUCCUUUGGGUCCAAUAACAACUUGGAAGACAAAAGCAUGUGAUCUUGCAUUUUGCAAGAAUGUGUCACAAUCUCUUCGCUAAAAUUCCUACUAUUACCCAAUCUUAUUGAAAUCUUCUUACACCUAUAUAAUGCAUCCAAUUGUGCUGAUAUCAAGCACAACUCCUCCACAGCACCUGUCACAAAAACGAAAUCCUUUCAUAUUGCAUUUCUUCACCAAAACAAAUUAAGUGACCGUACCCUUCAUAUAUACAUGGCUAUUCGUAUGCCUCGGAUCAUUCAAGCAAAGAAAGUUCUUGGUCGAUCAUUGUCCAAUGGAAGCCGUCCAUCAUCAUCUACAGACAUCAUCCCUAAAGGACAUUUUGCAGUUUAUGUUGGUGAUCAAGAGAAAAGACGAUUUGUUGUUCCUUUAUCAUUAUUAAACCAGCCUUCAUUCCAAGACUUGCUACAUCAAGCAGAGGAAGAAUUUGGAUAUGAUCAUCCAAUGGGUGGCCUCACAAUUCCAUGUCGUGAGGAAGUGUUUGUUGAUGUUGCCUGCCGCCUUUGCUCGUUAUGAUGAAGAGCUAGGCAUGCAUCGUGUUUGCUAACAGUUUUGUACAGUCAAAAUCACCAUGAGGAUUAAUUACUUGUAAAUCAGAGGGAGUAAUGUGGUCUCCAAAUUCAUUGUAUGAUAACAAAAUUUAGUUUCAGCAUUAAUACAUUAAUGACGACCAUUGUUCAACUUAUGGUGUUCAUGUCUAUGCCAUUAGGGCUUUCUUUAUCAAUAUCCUCUAAGCCCACCAGAACCACUUACUUACUUUUGUUCUUUAGCUUGUAUUUUCAAUCCGUUCAAAAAAAGUUUGUAUGCCACAUCUUUCUCCAUAUACUGAAUGUGACUAUAGCCUUAAUUUGGGCCUGGAUCAGUUGUUUCUUCAACACCACCUACCCAAGAGCUAUCAGUUAUUGUUCUUUUCCUCUAACCUGUUAUGAUAGGGACUGAUUGGUCAAGAGAAAUUAGCCGAUGAUCAAUGAUGAAUAGUUCGAUAAAAAUUUGUUGUAGGAUCACACAUGUUAGUCUAUGAACUCAAGGGAACGACUUUGUAAAGGGCCUGCUUAUGUCUUUCUUGAGUAAGCUCGGAAGUUUAAACAAAAGAACUCAUAUAGCAAACAUAUUGGUGCUUAGCUGCUUCUGAUGACAAACUAUUAGGCAUAUUUUUAUUAGAUUAUGACCAUAUUACUAAUUAGGAAGGUUUCAAUAUAAAGUCGAGCUACAACUCUUGUAUAGAUUGCAUGAAAACUAUGGAAAAAGGCACGGCAUUCAGUUUCAAAUAUUAUAAUCACAAAGAAUUCCAACAGAGACUCCUCUUUGAACAUCCUAAACAUCAUCACAACCUACUUUCUUCCCAAGAGAUUUAUUCCGCUACAAAUCUUAAUUACUCAAGAAACUUGACAAUCAUUGACAACCUAUAACCAAAACAGUUAGAAAGACCCCACAAUACAUGGACCU
rnacentral:lncRNA from 1 species